GGCGUCUGUGAUGUUUCAUAAUUACCUACAUUGUUUGAGCCUUCUGAAAAGAACACUGACUGAGACGCCC
ensembl:snoRNA SNORD34 Small nucleolar RNA SNORD34